rnacentral:lncRNA from 1 species
AACCUAUACCACAGCUCACAGCAAUGCCAGAUCCUUAACCCACUGAGCAAGGCCAGGCAUCAAACCUGCAUCUUCAUGGAUACUAGUCAGAUUCGUUACCAAUGAGCCACAAUAUGAUGUAAAAUCUUGAUGCCUAUAACUUUAAAGUAUUACUUCUGAAUUUUACUGUAAUUCAUCAGGUAAAUUCACUUCUGGGUAGUGAAAUGAUAAAAAUCUACUUCCAGAAUGAAAGAAUCUUAGAAUACUCUAUGUAAUUAAUCUUACAGAUCUAUAUAGACUUUUGUUUGUAUAUUGCAUUUAUAUGUGUGUGAAUACAUAAUAUGAAAUGUAGGUGAAUAAGGAUAUGUCUGUGCCUGAGUUACUGGUAGCUCAAAAAAUAGUAAAAAUAAUGCAUAUAAACUUGUAUUUAUAUUUAAUAUAUUUGUUUGUCAUAAAAUCUAUCCAUUUAAAAAAUUGAUAUUCAAGUCUAAAGUCUAAAACAGAAUUGUGCCAAGAUUUCAGUUAAGAUUUGUUGUCCAGUAAAUCUUAUAAAUUAAUUUUAGGGAUGGUUCUAAACAGUAAAAAAGUAGAGACAAUAUGUGGCAAAUCCUUUUUUAAUUACUUAAGGAGUUCAAUGAAAUUGAAUUACAAAAAUUUUAAUACUUAUUUUGUUAGGGUUUGCAUAUUUAAAACUACCUUGGAGAUAUUCAAAUGGAAUUUAUUUUACUCUUUUCAUAUACUUAUCUUAAAAUAUGUGCUUUAGUAUAAAUUAUACCAUUAUAUUUAGCAAAUUGCUUAGCAUAUUAUAGUAAUUGUAUAAUUGCUCUUUAUUUCAAGUGUCAUUAUUACUAGGAAUGAUUGAAAUAAUGCAUAUAAUGUGCCUAAUACAGUAUCUGACAUAGAAAAUUCUCAGUAAAUAUUAGCUACUAUUAUAUUUUCUUUGUUGAGGUCCUAUGUAUUUAUAACUGUGGCUAUCAAUUCAAAAAGAGUUUAUAUACACUUUAAAAGUCCCAAGUUAAUUAUUUUUGAAGAAUGUUUCUUAUUGUAUCACUUUAACACUAUGAUUUUAUUCAACUGAAAUCAAGAACAAUAACAUGUUUCACUGCGAUAGAUUUCUAUUUCCUCACCUUUAUGUUCUGAUUUUGAGUGGAAGAAAGAUUUAUGAGUAGACACAGUAGAGAUGAGGAAACAAGCUAAUCAAUCUUAUUUUGUUCAUAAAAAACAAAGUGAAGCAACACAUUUUGGAGAAUUUCCAGGCACAAUUUGAGAAGUGGAAGUAAAGCAAUUCUAUCAAUGCAACUUCUUUGGUCAGUAAAUGCAAAGAAAAGGGUUAAGAAUCUCCAUUGAUCAAAUGGAAAUAUACAAGAUGUAUUAGAAUUGUAGUAUGGCUUUGUUAGUGAGAUUGUACAUAUAAUAUUUCCAGAAAUGAAAGUGGUAUUAUUUAGUUUCUCAUCCUCCACAAGGAAGUGAAUGCCACUGUUUUCAUCUACUGCUUGAGAUGUUCAUAUCACAUGAUAAAUGUAAAAAUAUUUUGUAAAGAAAUCUAUGAAAAUUCUGGGAUUAUAGACUUGAAUCAACUAGUCAGUUGUGAAAAACAUCAUUUCUGUGUAAAAUUCAGGAAUUCUUUUUGUAAUUUUUGAUAAGAAGAGUUUCAGUUAGGGCAAGGAUUUUCUCAAGGCCAGAAACUCAAAAGUUUACCUAGAAUAUACACUCUUCUUUACAACUUUAGAAUAGGGAAGAAUUCUUAAAUGGUCAAAAAGUUCAAACUCUAAAUGAAAAUGGAUAAAACAAUAGAAGACACAUUUGGCCACAUUAAAAGAAUGAUAUGGAAUGUAGAUGCAAUAAAAUUAUAAAUUACUCAAUGCAAGAAAGUAAACAGAUUUUAAUGUCAAAUCACCUAGACAGGUCUCUACACAUGCCCCAAUUCCCUCUUCAUAUAAGGACACCAACUAGUUUGAAUCAGGACCUAUCCUAAGGGCCUCAUUUUAACUUAACCUUUUUAAAAACCCUUUCUGCAAAAUAUAGUCACAUUCAGAGGUAUUGGGGGUUACAGCUUCAACAUAUGAAUUUGAGGGGAAGGGGACAUAACUCAUUCUAUAAGAAUCAUAUAAAAUCAUCAGAAAAUAAAAGUACAUUUUACUUCAAAGUUUAAAUGAAUACUGAUCAAAAUAUCAAAUAUGAUAAGUGAGUGAAUCAUCCAAAUAAGAUCUAAAACAAUCAUGUUCAGUCCACUUAAAUCUAAUAAAAUUAGUGCAAAUUCAGUGAGUUGACCUUACAAAAAUAAAAAGCCAAUUAUUUCACCAGGAAAAUUAGUUUACAUGGGAAUAGCAGAUGAAUUGCAAUUUGUGACACUCAAAUUAUAACCAACCAUGGGCAGGUCUGAGAAGACAAUGCGAAGUUCAGCUUUUUUAGGUUUUCAGAGGAAAUCAGAGGGUUCUGGUAGUGAUUCAUUGGCUGCAAGCAGUGGGCAGCUUGAUGGCUCAGAAGGAAAUCUUUCUGCUGGAUUCAGUAAGCUGUGGCAAGUGAAACAUGUGUGAGGGCUACUCACCUCCAUUUUACAUGGUUUCCUGUAUUUUCACAAGUGUCAUAGUACUACUUCUGGGCAUGGGGAGAGCAGGCAGAUACACUCAAAUCCAUCAGCUUGUUACUGCUGUCUUGGUGAGUAAAAGCCCAGACUGCCCCUGCACACCACGCAUGCAUAUUGGAACAGAACGUCUCCUCCUAGAGCCAUGUUCUGAAGUUACCAUGGGCUGGCUCUAAUUUAUCUUUGUCUUUUACCACCAGGGCAUUUUCCUGUCUUUUGUAUUUGGCUCUAUAUUUAAAAUUUGCAUAUGUUAUAUUUUUUCUAGUGUGUUCUAUGUGUUUUUAGCAAGAUAUAAGUUAUAUGCACCAGCUGUCUUCCAUAGUUUCUUAAGUCUGAUUUCUCUUUCUCCUGUAGGUUGUUUAGUAUGUUUUGUUUAUGUUCUAUGAUCAACUUGAAUAGUAUUCAGGGACAAAAACAGACAUCUCAUGUCAUAAUUUACUCCUUUUAUUUUACAGUUACUUUUCAUAUGUUAUUCAAUAUACAGGUUGCCUUUGAAUUAAAGAAAUUACUCGGGGAAGUCAAAAAAAUACCAUCUAAUUAAUUAAAACUACAAUUAGUUUUUUUUUUCCUCAAACUGAAAACCUGGUCUUGAAUCUAGAAAUAAAUUCUACUUAUUAAAGAAAAAUAUGAUGAAAAAAAUAUUUGUUCCUGGUACAAAGAGUGUGCUACUCAUAUUACAGAAGGAAGGAAAGUUAAAAUGAAAUUAAACUAUUUCCCAAAUGUAUGUUAUCAAAGACAAAAUAUACUUAAAGCCAAUCUAUAACACUUCAUUACAUUUUAGUAACUGGAAUGGAAAUAUAUGAAUCAAUGGAAAGAUGACUACUCAUCCGAUAGUUUUUAUUCUGAAAAUGCCAAGUUGUUAAUGAGUAAAGUGAACAGGAAAAAGACAAGUAAGAAGACAUUUAAACAAUGAGCAGAAUUCCAAAUUUCCAAGCUUUCCCACAGAUGGCUUUAAUUUAAAAGAUACCUUCAUGUAAAUAAGUCAGAUGACAUUGAAUAAAAAAGCUACUUUAAAGUAUAUGAAUAUGUAUGCAAUUAUCCAUAUUGAAAUAAGUAGAACCAAUCACAAUUUUAUAAUUUGAAGUAUCCUUCCAGGAAAUGCUUGUGUCCUGAUGAUGGUGAUUUGUUUUUUAAAUGAAAAUUAAAAUUGUGCUUGUGCUAGAUAGACAUUUAUAUGGUACAAACUUUAGUGUUUCAAAGCUAUUUCUAUUGAGUAUAUUUGGUACAUUUUUACUUUUGACUUAAUACAAAAAAUAUAAAUUAUUCAUGCUAUACAGAGAUAGGUAAUUGAUCUCAUAAGAUUCUGUAAGCAGAGUGUCAUUUCUGAUGAAAGGUAGAAACUUUGGAGUUUUCACCUGCCAUCAGCUAACUGACAGCCUUACCCCAAUCUAAAACCAAGCUAUUGAAUUCCAAUUUGUUCUUCAUGGCUAGUUUUACAUUAGCCUUAACAUGAAGUAAAUUGCUCUAAUAUGGAUAAUAUGAGGAAAAUUACAUGUAACCGAAGUUACAAGCAACGUGGUCAUUAAGGAUAUGUAAGUUUCGGGAGAAACCCUACUCAGGGUACAAACAAAGAGUUAAAUAGAUUCAAUAACACAUGAUUAAGUUACUUAAAAAUGAGAGUAAAUAGCCUAAAAAAGUUUGGAGAGGGUAGAUAUGGCUACAGAUGUUAACAACAUUUACUGUGUUAUGUAUUUGGAAGAAUGGAAGGACCCAAACCACACUAAGAAAGGGUUGUAUUCAUAUUUUGUGUUUUCCCAAACACUUUUAUUUUUAACCAAGUAGUAUUAAUAAUACCAAUUAAAACAAAUGCUAAAAUAAUAUAUUACUGAACUUUAAUCCUUUGCCAAAAAGUGUCCAAGGACAUUGUUAAUCUUCCCAUACUCUCAGCAGGCUUGCAUGGGAGAAAGUCUUACUGCUCCCAUUUCACAAAAGAGGAUGCUAAGAUAAAGGCAGGUUAGCAAACUUGCCCAGGGUCACAAAGCAUGUCAGUGGGAAAGACAGGAUUGAGUCCACAUAGAAUGUUCUGGUACCGAUGCCCUCAACCACUGUCCUAGCCAAUCUUUAUAAUACAAGUGUGAGUGCACCCACUCACUCCCUCAUAAAAUGACUAUAAAAAGAUCACGCCUAAUAUAAUGUACAGUGUGAUGCAUAAGAGAUACUCAAUAAUUAAAAACACAGGAUAUUAUACAAGAGGUAUUGGAUAAUUAAAAGCUAUCAUUUUCCUGAAAAAAAAAAUCAUUAUUUUAAAAGUAUAGAUAGUUCUACUUACCAAAUAAUACUGCUGUAUAUGUUCUGCAGAUAAUAAAAGUUAAAAAUUAUAAAAAUAAAUGCAACACGCAAUGUACAGUUUGAAUAAUUAAAACGACUUAUUGCAAUAGUUUUUUUUUCUGAAGUUAGAGUAUAUGUUGAGUUUCAUCCUUUUUAGACAAAAUAGAUUUUUUACAUUAUAAUUUGGACUAGAUUUAUAAAAGUUUUCCAACUAUACAGGCAACAUUUCUGUUUUCAAUAGAAAAGGUAUUCCUUUUCUUUUUCUUUUGAUUUACUAACCAGAAUUAAAACUGCAUUUUUUUCUAUUUUAUGCAGCUCUAGCAAACAAUAUUGAAAAACUGUCUUCAGGAAAUGAUUAUCCUUUAAAAUAUAAUGUUUGAAAGGAUAUGUGUAAAUUCAUAUACAUAUACAUGAAAAAUGUGCUUGUGUGAG